rnacentral:tRNA from 1 species
GGGUCGCUAACUCAACGGUUAGAGUAAUCGCCUUUUAAGCGAGAGGUUCAGGGUUCAAGUCCCUGGCGACCCACCA